rnacentral:rRNA from 1 species
AACGAACGCUGGCGGCAGGCUUAACACAUGCAAGUCGAACGCGCCGCAAGGGGCGCGGCAGACGGGGGAGUAACGCGUGGGAUUCUACCCAUCCCUACGGGAUAACACAGAGAAAUUUGUGCUAAUACGGUAUACGUCCUCCGGGAGAAAGAUUUAUCGGGGAUGGAUGAGCCCGCGUCGAAUCAGCUAGUUGGUGGGGUAAUGGCCUACCAAGGAGACGAUCCGUAGCUGGUCUGAGAGGAUGACCCGCCACAUUGGGACUGAGACACGGCCCAAACUCCUACGGGAGGCAGCAGUGGGGAAUAUUGGACAAUGGGCGCAAGCCUGAUCCAGCCACGCCGCGUGAGUGAUGACGGCCUUAGGGUUGUAAAGCUCUUUUACCCACGACGAUAAUGACGGUAGUGGGAGAAGAAGCCCCGGCUAACUUCGUGCCAGCCGCCGCGGUAAGAC